CCUACGGGUGGCAGCAGUGAGGAAUAUUGGUCAAUGGACGAGAGUCUGAACCAGCCAAGUAGCGUGAAGGAUGACUGCCCUAUGGGUUGUACACUUCUUUUAUAUGGGAAUAAAAUGUUCCACGUGUGGGAUUUUGUAUGUACCCUAUGAAUAAGGCUCGGCUAACUCCGUGCCAGCCGCCGCGGUGAUACGGAGGAUCCGAGCGUUAUCCGGAUUUUUUGGGUUUUAAGGGAGCGUAGGUGGAAUGUUAAGUUAGUUGUGAAAGUGUGGGGCUCAACCGUCAAAUUGCAGUUGAAACUGGCAGUCUUGAGUACAGUAGAGGUGGGCGGAAUGCGUGGUGUAGCGGUGAAAUGCUUAGAUAUCACGAAGAACUCCGAUUGCGAAGGCAGCUCACUGGACUGCAACUGACACUGAGGCUCGAAAGUGUGGGUAUCAAACAGGAUUAGAUACCCUUGUAGUC
rnacentral:rRNA from 1 species